rnacentral:lncRNA from 1 species
UGUGAGCCAUGGUGGCUCUCAAGGGCAAAGACUUGGCCUCGUAUCUCUUCUUCUAAGUUGCUUAUAGAGCAGCAGGGGAGAAGGCCACUGUCCCAGCCAAGUAGAUACAGCAGGAACAGGAGGUGCCGAGUCCAAGGCCUGAGCCCUGAGAAUCUGGCUCCACCUCCAUGACUGGAUAUAUCUUCCUUGCGCUCCUACCCUGGAAGAGAUUGUGCGAGUGCCUCCUCUGCCUUGUGCAUCCUCAGCUGUCCCGUCCAACUGAGCAACUGGCAGUGAUGGCAGCAAGCCCUUCCAGCAUCGAGGAAGACAAUGAAAUGUGCAUCAACAAAGAACCGGCACCUGGAAGCCACAGGCAAGGCCAAGACCACCUGAUGAUAGUAGACAUACUGGAUCACGGACCUUGGUCGACGGGUGUUUCCCAGAGGGACCAGAAGGCGGGACCAAAGGCGCACCAGUGGCAGGGGCCCAGGGUGUCUGGAGAACCAGGCCACGGUGAUGCCCAUUCCCAGGAGUGCCCUGGCAGCUUCCAAGGCUGUAAUGACCCCAAUCUGGGGCUGGAUCUGCUGGCAGAGCUUGGCCUGGAUGAGCUCAAUGGACUGGAGAUGGAAAUCAUGAGAAGACAGCUGCUUGUGAUCACUGAGCGUCUGUGUGCCCUUGAGGAUCGGGAUGCCACCUGGCGCUUUAAGGAGGCGGUAAUCUUCACCAUGAUGGUGUUGGCCUGCGUUGCCAACGUGUGGCUGUGGAUGCGCCAGUGAAGCCAUGGCCCCAAGGGAGAGGACAGGGCAGCCCGCCCACAGUGACACCAGCGGGCCUUCCAACCCAUCCCCUGCUUCGGUUUUGGCUUCCUCUUCCCGUUUGCUUCCAAGCUGUGCACAGGGCUCUGCACAGGCUCAAUAAAAGUUUGGUGACAGCCGUGAAACCUGCCGGUGAGGCUCAUUGCCCACACCUUCCUCACUCUCAUUAUCCCCAGCCCAGGCACAGGGCUCCCUUGUCGGUUUCUCACCAGUGACUGCUCGUGAGGACACGGUGCUGUAGGCUGUG